rnacentral:misc_RNA from 1 species
CUGAAAUGCAUGUUGAUCUGUGGAAAUCGCCAAACGGGAAGCUUUUAUGUGCAUGAAACCCAACCAAGAAUACAACUCAAAUAGACAUGGUAUGUCACAUAUCAUCAGUUUUCUGCAUCAGCUAUUAAAGUGCUCUACAAAUGCAGUAUUGUGAACUUGCUGCUAGCAAGUCUGCAACCCUACUUCGCCUACCCUGUUUUAGGUCUUUCACUUUUUCAAUCAGAACCAUGGGAAACAAGCACCAUCAACCACUCAUCUCACUGUCACAAGGUUUGCUUUGUUGAUAAUCUAAUGAGGAAAUAGAUGCUACCAAAUCAUCAAGUUUUAAAGGAGAAUGACGAACAGUAUACUGGAACAUAACCUUAGAGUAACUAUCUGGAAAAGCAC